UACGUAGGGGGCAAGCGUUGUUCGGAAUCACUGGGCGUAAAGGGUGCGUAGGCGGCGCGGUAAGUCGGGUGUGAAAUCUUGGAGCUUAACUCCGAAACUGCAUUCGAUACUGCCGUGCUUGAGGACUGGAGAGGAGACUGGAAUUUACGGUGUAGCGGUGAAAUGCGUAGAUAUCGUAAGGAAGACCAGUGGCGAAGGCGGGUCUCUGGACAGUUCCUGACGCUGAGGCACGAAGGCCAGGGGAGCAAACGGG
rnacentral:rRNA from 1 species